rnacentral:rRNA from 1 species
AAUGGGGCAACCCGGCAGUGGUCAUGCACUGUCAUCGUAUACUGAAAUCAUCUUAACCGGUGUAUAGGUGUACGAGGGGAACCGAGCGAACUGAACCAUCUAAGUAGCUCGAGGAACAGAAAGUAAUACGAUUCCCUCAGUAGUGGCGAGCGAACGGGGAACAGCCUAAACCACCUUCGGUGUUAAGGACGCAACCUUAUCGUUGGUGGGGUCGUGGGUAUGAGUCGUGGGGCGAGUGCGAUAGCCCCGAGAAGUUACCAAGUUAGCGGAUAACAGAAGACGCCUGGAAAGGCGCGCCAUAGAGGGUGAUAGCCCCGUAAGUGACAUUCGUCUAGCCUUCUUGACUUGUACCCGAGUACUGCAGGGCACGUGGAAUCCUGUAGGAAUCUGGGAGGACCAUCUCCUAAGGCUAAAUACCGCAUGCGACCGAUAGCGAACCAGUACCGUGAGG